ACGGUAGCUACUAAAGCAU
rnacentral:snRNA from 1 species